CUUAAGUUGGAGAUACGAGAAUAUGGUGUUGUUGGGUAGGCCCCAUGUCUUUUGUAUUUCGGGGAAUUUCAUCAGUCCUUGUGGCUGUAGUAUGUGGUGUAUAUGGGUGAUUCCUGCCUUCAACCAUUUUUGUAAAUGGAUAUCUGGUGAGAUUGCCAUUAAGGCUGUUAAAGGUGCUUUAGGAUGGAAGGUAUGUUUGGCUCCUAGGGUCUCUAAGAAGGUUGUCCAUACUUGGAGGGUAAAUUUUGUUGUAGGGAGCAGGUCGGCCUUAGGUGGCCUGAGUUUUUUUAGGGUCCACAUGUAGUCUAGUGCUGUGUUAUCUUGGAAUUGGGCUUUUUCCAGGUCAACCCAUUGGGUAUU